CCUAAGGUAGCGAAAUUCCUUGUCAGGUAAGUUCUGACCCGCACGAAUGGCGUAAUGAUUUGGGCACUGUCUCGACAGCCCGCCCGGCGAAAUUGUAGUACUGGUGAAGAUGCCAGUUACCCGCAACUAGACGGAAAGACCCCAUGGAGCUUUACUGUAGCUUAAUACUGAAGAUCGGUAAUGCAUGUACAGGAUAGGUGGGAGACUGGGAAGCACGGGCGUCAGCUCGUGUGGAGUCAACCUUGGGAUACCACUCUUGUAUUGCUGGUUUUCUAACCUGCGGCCCUGAAUCGGGUCGGGGGACACUGUUAGGUGGGCAGUUUGACUGGGGCGGUCGCCUCCAAAAGAGUAACGGAGGCGCUCAAAGGUUCGUUCAGCACGGACGGAAAUCGUGCAGUGAGUGUAAACGCAUAAACGAGCCUAACUGCGAGACCGACGGGUCGAGCAGUAACGAAAGUUGGAGUUAGUGAUCCGGUGGUAUGUGAGUGGAAAUGCCAUCGCUCAACGGAUAAAAGCUACCCUGGGGAUAACAGGCUGAUCUCCCCCAAGCGUCCACAGCGACGGGGAGGUUUGGCACCUCGAUGUCGGCUCGUCGCAUCCUGGGGCUGAAUUCGGUCCCAAGGGUUUGGCUGUUCGCCAAUUAAAGCGGCACGCGAGCUGGGUUCAGAACGUCGUGAGACAGUUCGGUCCCUAUCUGUUGCGGGCGUAAGAGAUUUGAAGGGAGCUGUCCUUAGUACGAGAGGACCGGGAUGGACGUACCUCUGGUGCACCAGUUGUCGUGCCAACGGCACAGCUGGGUAGCUAUGUACGGACGGGAUAAACGCUGAAGGCAUCUAAGCGUGAAGCCCCCCCUAAGAUGAGAUCUCUCAUCCUUUAUGGAGUAAGGGCCCAGGAAGACUACCUGGUUGAUAGGCAGGAGGUGGAAGCGCAGUAAUGUGUGCAGCUGACCUGUACUAAUCGCCCGAGGGCUUGACCU
rnacentral:rRNA from 1 species